AAAAUUUUAAACGGCCGCGUUAGCGUGAGCGUGCUAAGGUAGCGUAAUAAUUAGCCUUUUAAUUGGAGGCCAGUGAAUGGCAAGACUAGGAAUACCUGUACUUUGUGUAUAAAAAAAACUUUUCAUCUAAGUGAAAAGACUUAGAUAACAAAGGAAGACGAAAAGACCCCGCGGAACUUUACCUUUUCUUUAUACCUCUGCAUACAAGCUUAAAAGUAUAUAAGGUUUGAUUGGGGCAAUCUUGGAACCAAUAAAGCUUCCAACCUUUAUACAAAAACAUAUAAAAUUUAUUAAGGACCAUAAAGUAGUUACCCCGGGGAUAACAGCGUAAUCCAACUUAAGAGUACACAUCGAAAGUUGGGUUUGCGACCUCGAUGUUGGCUUAAGGAUAUCCACAUAAGUG
rnacentral:rRNA from 1 species